rnacentral:rRNA from 1 species
UACGUAGGGUGCAAGCGUUGUCCGGAAUUAUUGGGCGUAAAGAGCUCGUAGGCGGUGUGUCGCGUCUGCUGUGAAGACUCAGGGGCUCAACUCUGAGCUUGCAGUGGGUACGGGCACACUAGAGUGCUGUAGGGGAGACUGGAAUUCCUGGUGUAGCGGUGAAAUGCGCAGAUAUCAGGAGGAACACCGGUGGCGAAGGCGGGUCUCUGGGCAGUUACUGACGCUGAGGAGCGAAAGCAUGGGGGAGCGAACAGG